GCGAAUGGCUCAUUACAACAGCUAUAACUUACUGGAUCUUUUUCUUAUAUGGAUAACUGCGGUAAUUCUGGAGCCAAUACAUGAAUCAAGCUCUGGGCUUCGGUCCAGAGUGCAAUUAUUGGAGCAAAACCGGUCUCGUACUGUUUGCUAACUCAGGAUAAUUUUGCAUAUCGCAUGGUCUUGUACCGGCGAAGUUUCCUUCAGGUAUCUGCUUUAUCAACUAUCGUUGGUAGUUUAUUGGUCUACCAUGGUGUUGACGGGUAACGGAGAAUCGGGGUUUGACUCCGGAGAGGGAGCCUUAGAAACGGCUACCAUGUCUAAGGAUAGCAGCAGGCGCGAAAAUUACCCAAUAUCAAAACGAUGAGGUAGUGACGAGAAAUAACAAGAUCGUUCUCUAUGAGAUCGAUUAUUGGAAUGAGUACAAUCCAGAAAUUUUAACGAGUAUCUACGAGAGGGCAAGUCUGGUGCCAGCAGCCGCGGUAAUUCCAGCUCUCGUAAUGUAUAGAAUUAUUGUUGCGAUUAAAAAGUUCGUAGUUGGAUGGUGAAGCAGGUGUCGGGUGCGUUCUUUGAGCGUCUACUCAACACCUGCAUUUUGCAUGUUUUCGCGUGGUUGUUUCGGCGGCCACGUGAUGCAUGCAGGAUUACUUUGAACGGCUCAAGUGCUUAAAGCAAGUCUUAUGACUGAAUACCGGUGCAUGGAAUAAUGGAACAAGGUUGUGGCUGAGUUUUAUUGGUUUUGUCGGCUAAAACAAUGGUUAAAAGGAACAGCCGGGGGCAUUCGUAUCGCUGCGCGAGAGGUGAAAUUCGUGGACCGUAGCGAGACGACCGACAGCGAAGGCAUUUGCCAAGAGUGUUUUCAUUAAUCAAGAACGAAAGUCAGAGGUUCGAAGGCGAUCAGAUACCGC
rnacentral:rRNA from 1 species